ACAAGUUGUUAGCUGACUCAUCUCAACCAAAACCUCUUGGCCCGUUUCCAUUCUGGCAGGUCAUGUUACUAGGCUGCUCAGCCUGCUGGGCACCUUGCUCCAGGUGCAAGGCACGGGAUCCCUCUCUAUCUCUCCUUACCUCUGAAUUCUACCCAGGAACUAAGUUGCCUUGAUUUUUACCACGUUGUCCCUUCUGUCCCCUGUCCUAGUCUGUAGCUGUCCUGUGCAACCUUUGUUCUAGACUCCAGGCCCUCGCUGCCUGGAACUGCCGUAACAAUGUCAGCUGGCACUCGGCAGCCAUGGAAUGUUUUUGAGGAGCAAGAGUGGUAAGGUUGAUGUCCUUAGAAAGGAUCCUGCUCUGCCCUAAGGCCCAAUUAAAACCACACCUUGCUGCCGAGGCUUUCCGCCAUCUUCUGUGAAAGUACCAUUGCCUUUGUCCCUACCCAUCCUUGUGGUUCCAGACCUUGCAAGCCCCUGGCAUGCCGGUGUCCAGGCCAGACUUGUCUUUCUGUCAUCUUUCCCUCCUCCCAGAUAA